rnacentral:rRNA from 1 species
UACGUAGGGGGCAAGCGUUGUCCGGAAUCAUUGGGCGUAAAGCGCGUGUAGGCGGCCCGGUAAGUCCGCUGUGAAAGUCGGGGGCUCAACCCUCGAAUGCCGGUGGAUACUGUCGGGCUAGAGUACGGAAGAGGCGAGUGGAAUUCCUGGUGUAGCGGUGAAAUGCGCAGAUAUCGGGAAGAACACCCGUGGCGAAGGCGGCUCUCUGGGACGGUACUGACGCUGAGACGCGAAAGCGUGGGGAGCGAACAGG